CCUGGUAGCUCAGACGGUAAAGAAUCUGCCUGCAAUGCAGGAGACCCAGGUUCGAUCCCUGGGUCCAGAA
rnacentral:tRNA from 1 species